rnacentral:misc_RNA from 1 species
AAUUCUCAACCUUACUAGCUUUUACUAGCUAUGUAAUGGCUUGGAAGUGGGGGUCUUUUGCUGGUUUCGCAAGAAGUCAGCUCCCCUAAAAUGCAUUAGCCGGUGCCCCGCGUGGACCGUCUAUUGGUGUGAUAAUUAUCUACGCCGUUAGAUGUCUGCUAUUAAAUGGGAUGUGCUGCUUCUAAUCGUCCGUCUUGGACAAUUAAUGACU